UUCCCAGGCAGCGGUUGUUGCAACAUCGCGGCGGAGCGGGGGAAGCGGCUGCUGCUGACAGCGCAGCGCCGCGCUCGCAGGUCCCUUCCCUCAGCUCCGAGGGGUUUCGUGCCAGGAUUUUUGCAGGUCCAGCCCCCCUCGUCUGUCUCGGAUUUAGGAUUAACUCGCCUAUUGAGAGAUGGUCUUAGCUGAAUUAUUUAAAACGUUUCUAGAAAGAAAACAUUUCUCMUUUGAUUUUUGUCCUGCUGUCUCAGAAAUUCACGUGUCCCAUGCAGUAAAGAAAACGAGAGCUUCUACAGUACCUUUACUGCAACUAUUACUACAAACACUGCAAGCUUCAUUAGGUGAUUGCUCUCUUCUAGAGGAAGUAUUUCAGCUUUUUUGUGGCUAAUAAAAGGUCUGACAUUAUCAUAGCGACCCAGGGGAAGCAUGAUGGAGCUGUUAGGUGACAGGAUUCAGGGAUCUCUGGUCUCUGCUCCUCGCCGGCGCUGAGCCACGGCGAAACCCUAGGUCAGUCGUCCAGGCGUUAACACGCGCCCAGCACGGAGCGUGCAGCUCCCACGGGCUCCAGGCGGGAUUUGGCCUUCCGUUUCCCCGCGGUAAUUUCUCCAUCCCCUCUUCACGAAGCCUGCGAGGGAAGGAGGCUCUGCUAAUGCCGUUGCUCUGCAUCCCGCGCCAACRCCUCGCAGCCAGAGGUCCGGAGCAGCGCGCGAGCCCUGCGGAUGCUGCGUGCUCAGCAGCGCCCUGAAGUUACGGGACGUGUUGCCAGGCUCAAAACGAGGGGCACGAGCUGCGCCACGAAACAUGCUGCAGUAAGCAGCAGUGACUUAUCUGAGCAGUCGCAGGAGAAGCCUUGGUGGGGUGAGGCGAGGAGCUGCUCCACGGGAGCGGCGUAGGGACAGGCUGCCCUGCCGACGCAGGCAGCGUUAUUAGGACUAAAAUUCAUUAAAAGAGGUAAAGUGGCCACUGAUCUGGCACUUGCUGCUCACACAGUAUCAGAAGAGUUGUAGUUGGCCACGCUGCUUCCUUGAUCACACGGGUGCUCUCUGCAUUAGCCAGGGCCCCGAGCAGCAGCCGGGGAUUCGCCCUUUCCCCAGCAGCCGAGAGCGAGCUGAGCCGUCUGCAUUUCUACGCCGCGUCCUGAAACCUUCUGCAUCGCUCAGAAGUGGCUUGGGCAAACUGUGCCAC
rnacentral:lncRNA from 1 species